rnacentral:rRNA from 1 species
CCUACGGUGAGCAGCAGUGGGGAAUAUUGGACAAUGGGCGAAAGCCUGAUCCAGCCAUGCCGCGUGUGUGAAGAAGGCCUUCGGGUUGUAAAGCACUUUCAGUGGGGAAGAAAGCCUUGGGGCUAAUACCCUCGAGGAAGGACAUCACCCACAGAAGAAGCACCGGCUAACUCCGUGCCAGCAGCCGCGGUAAUACGGAGGGUGCGAGCGUUAAUCGGAAUUACUGGGCGUAAAGCGCGCGUAGGCGGUCUGAUAAGCCGGUUGUGAAAGCCCCGGGCUCAACCUGGGAACGGCAUCCGGAACUGUCAGGCUAGAGUGCAGGAGAGGAAGGUAGAAUUCCCGGUGUAGCGGUGAAAUGCGUAGAGAUCGGGAGGAAUACCAGUGGCGAAGGCGGCCUUCUGGACUGACACUGACGCUGAGGUGCGAAAGCGUGGGUAGCAAACAGGAUUAGAUACCCGAGUAGUC